rnacentral:snoRNA from 1 species
AUUCUCUAGUUCAUAAAUGUAAUGAUUGAGUUCUCACACUCGUGUGAGAUGCGCCUCUCUCACCCUUGUUGCAACUUCAGCACAUAGAUA